rnacentral:rRNA from 1 species
CCUACGGGAGGCAGCAGUGAGGAAUAUUGGUCAACGGGCGCGAGCCUGAACCAGCCAAGUCGCGUGAGGGAAGACGGUCCUAUGGAUUGUAAACCUCUUUUGUCGGGGAGCAAAAGACGCCACGCGUGGCGUUCCGAGAGUACCCGACGAAAAAGCAUCGGCUAACUCCGUGCCAGCAGCCGCGGUAAUACGGAGGAUCCGAGCGUUAUCCGGAUUUAUUGGGUUUAAAGGGUGCGAAGGCGGAAGAUCAAGUCAGCGGUAAAAUUGAGGGGCUCAACCUCUUCGAGCCGUUGAAACUGGUGUUCUUGAGUGAGUGAGAGGUAUGCGGAAUGCGUGGUGUAGCGGUGAAAUGCAUAGAUAUCACGAAGAACUCCGAUUGCGAAGGCAGCAUACCGGCGCUCAACUGACGCUGAUGCACGAAAGUGUGGGUAUCGAACAGGAUUAGAUACCCUAGUAGUC